rnacentral:tRNA from 1 species
AAUAAGGUAAGCUAAAGAUUAAAAGCUUAUGGGUUCAUACCUCAUAUAUGAUUAUAAAAUCCCUUAUAA